rnacentral:rRNA from 1 species
GAUGAACGCUGGCGGCGUGCCUAAUACAUGCAAGUCGAGCGAACGGACGAGAAGCUUGCUUCUCUGAUGUUAGCGGCGGACGGGUGAGUAACACGUGGAUAACCUACCUAUAAGACUGGGAUAACUUCGGGAAACCGUAGCUAAUACCGGAUAAUAUAUUGAACCGCAUGGUUCAAAAGUGAAAGACGGUCUUGCUGUCACUUAUAGAUGGAUAAGCGCUGCAUUAGCUUGUUGGUAAGGUAACUGCUUACCAAGGCAACGAUGCAUAGCCGACCUGAGAGCGUCAUUGGCCAGCCGGGAAGUGAGACUCAUCACACACUCCUACACGGAGAAGCGGUAGAGACUCUUACGCGAGGGAGCAGAGGGUGACGGAGCAACGCGGCGUGAGUCAUGAAGGUCUUCGGACCGUAGAACUAUGUUAUCAGGGAAGAUCAUAUGUGUAAGUAACUGUGCACAUCUUGACGGUACCUAAUCAGAAAGCCACGGCUAACUCCGUG